CAGGCUCACUCCCCGAGCCUUCCAGUGAGCUGUUUUCGCCUUCCUACAGGUGAUACUGCCCUGGUUGCUGCAUGUGCCCUUCCCCCAGCCUUGGUUUUGGAGCUAAGUCACCAUCAGUGGAGCCCGCUCUUUAAGUGAUGAAGAGAACAGUUGCUUCUUCUCCCUGGUUGGGGACUUGGAUGAGAUGAGAUGCCCUCACCUCCAGUGGCAUCCAUCCAGACACCAGCACUGACACUGGCCGUGCUCAGUACUGCCUCAGCCCUGAAAACACAAGUGACAAAUAGAAGGGGGCCAUACACUGUUACAGCAGGUGCUCUCAUUUUGUGGGUCCUUAUGUAACUGCUUGGUGUUAUUCAGGAUCACCCGUUCUACAUUGUUUUACGCUGCUGCGGUGUGUCCUAGUUAUUUGUUUCUGAUCUGAGAAACAGGAGCAAGGAACUCAGGGAGAGAUCCAGGAAGACAUCUGACUGUGUUAAGAGACGACAGUCACAGCGACACGGGGAGAGAAGACACUUGCAGCAAAGUAAAAUGACUUCACAACUAUUGCAUCAGAGCUGCAGGUGUGAGAGAGCCUAAGCCUGUCUCAGAGUGUAGGGGACAAGCGGAAAGGAAUGUGUAAGAAUGCCUGUGACUCAGUUAGAAGCAUGCUUAAAAGCUGUCCGUGUCCUUGCCAUCCAGAAGCGGAGCCUAGAAGCUCCCGAAUUUCUCCAGAAUGCGGUUUACAUUCACCUUCGACAGGGGGGUCCAGAUUCCAGAUUCAUUCUCUUGCCUACAGAUACCCAGGUGUCCCUGCACCCUUUGUUGAAUACACUAUUCUUUCAAUGCAGUGUUGUUGGCACCCUUGUGGAAAACUGACUGUAAAUAAAAGUAGACUGACGAUUAGGUCUUCUCUCUUUUGGGGGGAGCUGAUUAUCAAUGACUGGAAGUUGUAAGUAAAGAUAUUUAUUCAUCCUGAGGAAACAUUUUUCAGAGAGUUAGCAUUGAAGAGGGUGACCACUGA